rnacentral:tRNA from 1 species
GGCCGGUUAGCUCAGUGGUUUGAGUGCGGUGCUGCAACAAUGACAACAUCGAGGUCGUGGGUUCAAUUCCCAUUCAGUCCC